rnacentral:rRNA from 1 species
UACGAAGGGGGCGAGCGUUGUUCGGAUUUACUGGGCGUAAAGAGCUCGUAGGCGGCUGUUCAAGUCGAACGUGAAAACUCGGAGCUCAACUCCGAGCCUGCGUUCGAUACUGGACGGCUAGAGUCUGGUAGGGGGAUCUGGAAUUCCUGGUGUAGCGGUGGAAUGCGCAGAUAUCAGGAGGAACACCGGUGGCGAAGGCGGCCCACUGGUCCGGUACUGACGCUGAGGUGCGAAAGCGUGGGGAGCAAACAGG